rnacentral:rRNA from 1 species
UUGGAGGGCAAGUCUGGUGCCAGCAGCCGCGGUAAUUCCAGCUCCAAUAGCGUAUAUUAAAGUUGCUGCAGUUAAAAAGCUCGUAGUUGAAUUUCGGGACCAAUAUGUCGGUCGUGCCUCGGUACGUACUGGCAUCGUUGGUUUCUCCCUUCUGACGAACCAUGAUGUCAUUCAUUUGGUGUCGUGGGGAAUCAGGACUGUUACUUUGAAAAAAUUAGAGUGUUUAAAGCAGGCUAACGCUUGAAUACAUUAGCAUGGAAUAAUGAAAUAGGACGUUCGAUCCUAUUUUGUUGGUUUCUAGGAUUGACGUAAUGAUUAAUAGGGAUAGUUGGGGGCAUUAGUAUUCAAUUGUCAGAGGUGAAAUUCUUGGAUUUAUUGAAGACUAACUACUGCGAAAGCAUUUGCCAAGGAUGUUUUCAUUAAUCAAGAACGAAAGUUAGGGGAUCGAAGACGAUCAGAUACCGUCGUAGUCUUAACCAUAAACUAUGCCGACUAGGGAUCGGAUGAUGUUAAUUUUUUAAUGACUCAUUCGGCGCCUUACGGGAAAC